rnacentral:rRNA from 1 species
AUUGAACGCUGGCGGCAGGCCUAACACAUGCAAGUCGAGCGGAGCGGCGGACGGGUGAGUAAUGCCUAGGAAUCUGCCUGGUAGUGGGGGAUAACUAUUGGAAACGAUAGCUAAUACCGCAUACUGUGAGAUGGACCUGCGUUGUAUUAGCUAGUUGGUGAGGUAAAGGCUCACCAAGGCGACGAUACAUAGCCGACCUGAGAGGAUGAUCAGUCACACUGGAACUGAGACACGGUCCAGACUCCUACGGGAGGCAGCAGUGGGGAAUAUUGGACAAUGGGCGAAAGCCUGAUCCAGCCAUGCCGCGUGUGUGAAGAAGGUCUUCGGAUUGUAAAGCACUUUAAGUUGGGAGGCGUUACCAACAGAAUAAGCACCGGCUAACUUCGUGCCAGCAGCCGCGGUAAUUC